UAGGUGGCACCAUAGUGCACAGAGUGCCAGGCCUGGAGUCAGGAAGACUCAUCUUCCUGAGUUCAAAUCUGGCCUCAGACACUUACUAGCUGUGUGACCCUGGGC
ensembl:miRNA